GGAAAAAGAACAACACCUCUUGUCAAGAGGAUUCUUAUCCAAGCAUGGUAGAAAAAAUAUGGCAUUUAUGGAAAGAAAAAAGAGCAUGGCAGAUAGUUGAUUCAUCACUAAAGGAGUCUUGUUCUCCUCAUGAAGUACUAAGAUGCAUCCAAAUUGGGCUCUUAUGUGUGCAAGAAGAUGUAUUGGAAAGACCGNNUGUCAGCUGUUAUUCUAAUGUUGAGUAGUGAAAUUGAUCUUCCUUCUCCUAAGCAACCAGCAUUC
rnacentral:misc_RNA from 1 species